AAAGUCGUAACAAGGUUUCCGUAGGUGAACCUGCGGAAGGAUCAUUACCGAGAUAGGGUGUCCGCCUCCGGGCGCGCCCGACCUCCAACCCUUUGCUUACUUGACCUUUUGUUGCUUCGGCAGGACCGUUCCCCCGCCAGGGGGAACCGCCGGGGGUGCCUCACCGCCCCCUGGCCCGCCGCCUGCCGACGGCCCAUUAUUAAACACUUGUCUAAAAAACGUGUCGUCUGAAUAUUUGUUAUAAACCAAUAACUAAAAACUUUCAACAACGGAUCUCUUGGUUCUG
rnacentral:misc_RNA from 1 species